CAAAUAUCGCGAAAUAUCAGAGCGCGUAUAGGUUAACGGUUUUGCCCUAAUAAAGUUUUUGAAAAGUUACCUAAAAGACAGCGCAGUCAGUGAAGAGCUUGAGAAAUAUAAGACGCAAUUUGUGAAGAAAAAGGAAGAGCACUCGGAUUCUCACCACAGGAGGGCAGGAAUCACUUGAGUACCAGAGAGACUGCGACACGGUCAUAUUGACUGCAGGCGUAUUGAUAAUUCUGCAGCUAACGCUGGAUCCGAUCUGCUGAGUCCACAGUCACCGCAGGAAACAGUUUCUCUCACAGGUUUCUGUCUGCUGGAUGUGAGACAUUGGUAAUGAGCCGGCAUUCUGUCAUUCCCUUACUUGACACCCCAGAGCCUUAGAGAGGAGAGAGGGACUGGCGCUGUUUGGGUGGAGAGGACGUCAAGCAGCUCUUUCGCUGUGCAUUUUCCCUCUCUGAUGCUGGAUUUAUUCUUCUAAAACCAUGUUUAACAGACUGUGCUGUUUCAUCCAAGUUCUUUUCUUUUUCCUUGAUCUCCUUUUGAAAACCAUGCUUCAAGCGGCGACUGGUCAAGGUCAUCUUGAUUUAAUGCAUUAAAGUUAUAUGAACAUAAA